rnacentral:tmRNA from 1 species
CCUUGUCUUUUUGCGUAUUUCAUGGUAUAAUAAUCACUGUCAGGGCAACUUGACUAUAAUGCUAAACGGCGAAUGAAAUAGAUGUAGUGGACUCGGGGGCAGUACCCGACGCCUCCACCAUUAACGGGGGCGACAUAGCAUCGACACGCAUAGUAAAGAUUUGACCUUGCAUUCGGUAUGGUAACCGCCGUUAUCGGGCUAAAAAAAAUAAAUGCAAAUGAUAAUUUUGCACGCGUUGCAAUGGCCGCUUAAUUGCGUCUAACGCAACAAUUAAUCCCUAGACCCUUUUCGUGCGUCUAGGUGGGGCUUUGGGAAUGGGCCUAGCAACAGCACCA